rnacentral:rRNA from 1 species
GACGAACGCUGGCGGCGUGCUUAACACAUGCAAGUCGAACGGAAAGGCCUGCUUUCCCUUGUGGAUUGCGGGUACUCGAGUGGCGAACGGGUGAGUAACACGUGAGUGAUCUGCCCCCAACUUGGGUAUAAGCCUGGGAAACUGGGUCUAAUUCCCGAUAGGACUGCAGGGUGGUGCCCGUGGUGGAAAACGAUUUUCUAGUGGUUGGGGAUGAGCUCGCGGCCUAUCAGCUUGUUGGUGGGGUAAUGGCCUACCAAGGCGGCGACGGGUAGCCGGCCUGAGAGGGUGGACGGCCACAUUGGGACUGAGAUACGGCCCAGACUCCUACGGGAGGCAGCAGUGGGGAAUAUUGCACAAUGGGCGGAAGCCUGAUGCAGCGACGCCGCGUGGGGGAUGACGGCCUUCGGGUUGUAAACUCCUUUCGACCGCGAGGAAGCCACCUGGUUGGAAGGGUGGUGACGGUAGUGGUAGAAGAAGCACCGGCUAACUACGUG